rnacentral:rRNA from 1 species
CAGCUGUAAGAGCUAACCCCUCUCUGUCGCAAUAGAGUGGGACGACUUUUAAGUAGAGGCGACAAACCUACCGAACUUAGAGAUAGCUGGUUAUUUAAGAAAAGAAUUUAAGUUCAGCCCCAAGCCUCUUUUUAUCAAAAAAAAUUUCCUCAGACUUGGGAGUUACUCAAAUAAGGCACAGCUUAUUUGAAACAGGACACAACCUAGAAUACUGGGUAAAACAAUUGAAAUUGUGGCAAGUGGGCCUAAAAGCAGCCACCUUCAAAAAAGCGUCAAAGCUUACCAACAACAACUUCCUAAUAACCUCAACAAUUUUUAUCCCACAUAUCCUAUUAAAUUACCCCAUACAACUAUGGGAGCUAUAAUGCUAGAACGAGUAACAAGAAAAAGACUUUCUCCAAAAUGUAAGCUUAAGCCGCAAUGGACCAACCGCCGGCAAUCAACGCCUCUGAGCUAAUUUUAGUAACACUAACAAGAAAACCCUAAAAGCCUCAACGUCAACCUUACACUAGUACA